rfam:Erinaceus europaeus unplaced genomic scaffold scaffold00094, whole genome shotgun sequence
GGAUGUGAGAGCGAUCUGGCUGGAACACCUGUCACCCCAUCGAUCGCUAAGGUUGAUUCGGCACAUCUAGCUGGCUAGGUGGGUGUCCCCUUCCUCCCUCACUGCUCCCAAAGCUGCUUGCUUGAUCAAACAUGACGACCUUCCCCAAAUAGAGACCAGUGUUUGGUUGGGUUCUAGCACUCCCCUGCUAGAACCUCCAAACAAACUCUCAAGGAAAUGGAGUCUGAACUCCGGAAAGUUCUUUUAUUCCCAUCUAAUACUAGUAGAGGGGAGGGAGGGGAUAUGAUUUUGACCUUUGUCAUU